rnacentral:lncRNA from 1 species
AGGUAACACGGCGACGGUACGGGAAACUCCUAUGUCUUCCGACUGCGCUCCCAACUGAACAGAUCUUGAGCUACCUUGUUGGCCGAUAUCCUAGACCAGCAAUAAUCAAUUAGGUGGUGACGCGUUUGAGCUGCAACGUGACGCAGCCUUGCAAGCAACUAAAUUCCUGAAAGCUUUUCUGGUUUUCAUUCCUGGAAGCGCACAACAACCAACUUAUGGAAAGCUUUAACAUAGAGUGUUGAGCGCUGCCGGCAAAUACAGCUGUGCGGCAGCUGUUGUGGAGCGGAAGCCAUGUUCAACUCCCAAACUGGCUUCGUUAGCAACUUUGUUGAGCAGGAUGGCUGUGCACGAACUGUUAUCGUGCUGCUCUUGUUGACAACAGUCGGGUGCAUCAGCUACACUUGGGGGUAUUAUGAGGUGAGCCUUCUGUAGACUGCUCGGGUUCUAAUGUUCAAUUUUAUUUUGUGGGUGUGGAUUAAUGAUGAAAUGCGCAAUGCUCUUGGCAGGGAAUUGCUAAUGCCCAGAGCAACCUCAUGCUGGAUAAGCUGCACGAGCUGCAGCUACUGCAGAUGUCUAUGGCUAACAAUGGCACGGAACGUAAACACACUGGGGGCCACGGCAUGCGUUUGGCGGAAGUUCAGCCUG